GAUGAAGAACGUAGUGAAAUGCGAUAAGUAAUGUGAAUUGCAGAAUUCAGUGAAUCAUCGAAUCUUUGAACGCACAUUGCGCCCGCCAGUAUUCUGGCGGGCAUGCCUGUUCGAGCGUCAUUUCGACCCUCGGGCCCCGCACUCGUGCGGGCUCCGGCGUUGGGGACCGGCCUCCGCAUCAGACGGCCGCCCCCGAAACCCAGUGGCGGUCCCGCCGCGGCCUUCUCUGCGUAGUAGCAUACACCUCGCACUGGAGAGCGGCGCGGCCACGCCGUAAAAGAAACGAACUUUCUCAAGGUUGACCUCGGAUCAGGUAGGAAUACCCGCUGAACUUAAGCAUAUCAAUAAGCGGAGGA
rnacentral:misc_RNA from 1 species